AACGCAUAUUGUGCUCUUUGGUAUUCCGAAGAGCAUGCUUGUUUGAGUAUCAGUAAACACCUCAACCUCUCUUUUUGACAAAAAAAGGAGGGUGGACUUGAGCUAUCCCAACGACCUUCACUGGUAGGCGGGCGGCUUGAAAUGCAGGUGCAGCUGGACUUUUAUCUGAGCUAAAAGCAUAUCUAUUUAGUCCUCGUCAAACAGGAUUAUUACUUUUGCUGCAGCUAACAUAAAGGAUAAUUGUCCUCUUUGCUGACUGAUGCAGGAUUUUAUGACACUUUAUGUGUUGUUCAACUCGAUCUCAAAUCAAGUAAGACUACCCGCUGAACUUAA
rnacentral:misc_RNA from 1 species